UCCUGCAAGUGGGGGGGCGAGAAAAAAAAAAAAAAAAAAAAAAAAAAAAAAAAAAAAAAAAAAAAAA
rnacentral:ribozyme from 1 species